AACGAACGCUGGCGGCAGGCUUAACACAUGCAAGUCGAGCGAGACCUUCGGGUCUAGCGGCGGACGGGUGAGUAACGCGUGGGAACGUGCCCUUCUCUACGGAAUAGCCCCGGGAAACUGGGAGUAAUACCGUAUACGCCCUUUGGGGGAAAGAUUUAUCGGAGAAGGAUCGGCCCGCGUUGGAUUAGGUAGUUGGUGGGGUAAUGGCCCACCAAGCCGACGAUCCAUAGCUGGUUUGAGAGGAUGAUCAGCCACACUGGGACUGAGACGCGGCCCAGACUCCUACGGGAGGCAGCAGUGGGGAAUCUUAGACAAUGGGGGCAACCCUGAUCUAGCCAUGCCGCGUGAGUGAUGAAGGCCUUAGGGUUGUAAAGCUCUUUCAGCUGGGAAGAUAAUGACGGUACCAGCAGGAGAAGCCCCGGCUAACUCCGUGCCAGCCGCCGCCGUAA
rnacentral:rRNA from 1 species